GAUGAAGAACGUAGCGAAAUGCGAUAAGUAAUGUGAAUUGCAGAGUUCAGUCAAUCAUCGAAUCUUUGAACGCACAUUGCGCCCCCUGGUAUUCCGGGGGGCAUGCCUGUUCGAGCGUCAUUACAACCCUCAAGCUCUGCUUGGUAUUGGGCCCCGCCAGUUCUGGCGGGCCCUAAAGUCAGUGGCGGUGCCUUCCGGCUCCGAGCGUAGUAAUUCUUCUCGCUCUGGAGACCCGGUUGUGUGCUUGCCAACAACCCCCAAUUUUUUAAGGUUGACCUCGGAUCAGGUAGGGAUACCCGCUGAACUUAAGCAUAUCAAUAAGCGGAGGA
rnacentral:misc_RNA from 1 species